UACGUAGGGGGCAAGCGUUGUCCGGAUUUAUUGGGCGUAAAGAGCGUGUAGGCGGCUUUACAGGUCCGUUGUGAAAACUCGAGGCUCAACCUCGAGACGCCGGUGGAAACCGUAAAGCUAGAGUCCGGAAGAGGAGAGUGGAAUUCCUGGUGUAGCGGUGAAAUGCGCAGAUAUCAGGAGGAAUACCCGUGGCGAAAGCGGCUCUCUGGGACGGUACUGACGCUGAGACGCGAAAGCGUGGGGAGCAAACAGG
rnacentral:rRNA from 1 species